rnacentral:rRNA from 1 species
CCUACGGGUGGCUGCAGUGGGGAAUAUUGGACAAUGGGCGCAAGCCUGAUCCAGCAAUGCCGCGUGUGUGAAGAAGGCCUGCGGGUUGUAAAGCACUUUAAGCAGGAAAGAAGGGGUGAAAGUUAAUACCGUUCAUCAUUGACGUUACCUGCAGAAUAAGCACCGGCUAACUCCGUGCCAGCAGCCGCGGUAAUACGGAGGGUGCGACCGUGCAUCGGGAUUGCUGGGCCGAUUGGAUCAGUCGGUCGUGAAAGCCCUGGGCUUAACCUGGGAACUGCGGUGGAUACUGUCGGGCUAGAGUGUGGUAGAGGGGAGUGGAAUUUCCGGUGUAGCAGUGAAAUGCGUAGAGAUCGGAAGGAACACCAGUGGCGAAGGCGGCUCCCUGGACUAACACUGACGCUGAGGUGCGAAAGCGUGGGGAGCAAACAGGAUUAGAUACCCGGGUAGUC